rnacentral:lncRNA from 1 species
GGGGCUUUGAAGAUCCUUUUAAUUAUCUAAUAUCUAUCUAAUCCGAUGAUUGUCCCGCAAUGUAUACAGAAAAUACACUUCAUAGUGACAAAAUUGAGUAAAUAAAGCACGUAAAUUUGAGAAAUAAAAAAAUAAAAAAAUAAAAAAAAACAACAACAACAACUACUACAUUAGCGACAAACUAAAUGUUGAAAGCGAUCUUUAUAAACGCUGAUACCACUUUACAGACUCUUAAGUUUAUACUGUUUUAAAUUUUGUACUAUCAACUUUUAUUUUGCAUAGUUUGACCCUAAAAUUAUCACAAUAAUUUUUUUUUUGGAGCGCAAUUGUCGCUCAAUCAAAUCUCAUUAACUAGUUUUUUUUUUUUUUUUUUUUUUGUGGAUUUAGGUUGCUAACUAGUAAAUGAAUGCAAGAAAACCAAAGCACACAGUUUGGGCUUACACAAAAAAAAAAACCAAAAACAAAAAAAACAAAAAGGCACACGCGUUGAAUCAUUCUUUAGCCAGUCUUAGCCAGAGAAAGGGCAGCAUGGUAUGUGGGCAUAUAUUGCAAAUAUUCAUUAAUUUGUGUGCAAGAUAACAGGUCCAUUUAGAUGGUGUGUUUUUUAAGAGUUUGUUAAGGUAGAAUUUUUACAACAACUUUGCAUAUUUGAAGAGUCUGGAGAAUAUUUGUAAAGCUCCAUCACCCACCACAUCUCAUCCACCCUUGUCAUUGCACUGACAAGCAACCAUCACCACCACCCCUUCCACCACUCGCCACCCCUAUCCCUUUGUCUUCCCUCCACCACCACCUACCACUACCCCCCUCUUCUUCCCCAUCACCACUACCAGAUCUGGUGGCGGGGAGGGAGGGGGAUGAGGGGGGAGUGCGGGCGGGAGUUGGGGAAGAGGGGGAGAGGAAGGAAGAGGGGAGGGGGAGAGAGACAAGAGGUGGGCUUAUUGCUUAGAAUAUAUGCCAAAAAAAAAAACAUCGCACAAAUAUAUUUCUGACACACUUAAUUUCUAAUUCUAUACCGGCCGUGCUGAGUCAGCACGGCCGCGGAAUGAAUUUUGCAGAAACUCUGCAAACAUGUCAGUGGGUCAGCGGCCCACAAAUUUUUUUUUAAAUGAGCCUGUCCCAGCCGUGCUGACUGGGCACGGCUGGGACAGGCAGUAAAAAAAAAAAAGCCUAGGGGCCCGUGUUAGUUGCAAACUUGCAAUACAUUGCGUUGUUGUGCAUUAGCUGCUGUAACUACUAGUGCGCCUAGUAGGUGAGGUUACAGGAGCAAGAAAGACUUUGCAUUAUUCUUUUACUGGUGAUUCAUUCCUACACAUUUAUAUGUCUUCCCUUAAUUAGCUUGCAAUUUUUUCAGGGAUCUGUUUGGAUUCAGCAUUUUUCGAAAAAUAAUUUUUUUAUUUACAAUGUUACGGUAAUAUACAAAAAAAACUCCAAAAAUACAAUAUCUAAAUAAUAUAUCAAAAAUAACUCUAAAUAUACAAAAUAUAUAUUAAUGUAUAUAUUUAUAUAUAAAUAUUAUAUAUAAAAAAUAUUUGGAGUAUUUUUGGAGUUUAUAUAAAUAUAAAAUCCAAAGAAUAUAUCAAAAAUAACUCCAAAUAUACAAAAUAUAUAUUAAUGUAUAUAUUUAUAUAUUUGGAGUUAUUUUUGAUAUAUUAUUUGGAUAUUGUAUUUUUUGAGUUUUUUUUGUAUAUUACCGUAGCAUUGUAAAUGAAUAAAUUAUUUUUCGAAAAAUGCUGAAUCCAAACAGAUCCCUGAAAAAAUUGCAAGUUAAUUAAGGGAAGACAUAUAAAUGUGUAGGAAUGAAUCACCACCAGUAAAAGAAUAAUGCAAAGUCUUUCUUGCUCCUGUAACCCCACCUACUAGGCACAACAACGCAAUGUAUUGCAAGUUUGCAACUAACACGGGCCCCUAGGCUUUUUUUUUUUUACUGCCUGCCCCAGCCGUGCCCAGUCAGCACGGCUGGGACAGGCUCAUUUAAAAAAAAAAUUUGUGGGCCGCUGACCCACUGACAUGUUUGCAGAGUUUCUGCAAAAUUCAUUCCGCGGCCGUGCUGACUCAGCACGGCCGGUAUAGAAUUAGAAAUUAAGUGUGUCAGAAAUAUAUUUGUGCGAUGUUUUUUUUUUUGGCAUAUAUUCUAAGCAAUUAGCCCAAGAGGUGGCAGGGAAGGAGCAGGGGAUGAUAGGAGAGGAAAGGGAAGGCGAGGGGAGGAAAGGAGAGCGACGAGGAAGGCUGCGGUGGCGGUGAUGGGGGCUGAUGAUAGGGAAAAGGGGUGGUGGGGGAGGAGGAGAAGGGAGAAAAAGGGAAAGGUGAAGGUAGUGGAGGUGGCAGUGCGCAGUGAAGGUGGCGGCUGCAACGGUGGAAUGAAGUGAGGGCGGCAGCAACAGUGGUUGAAAUGGUUAGGGGUAGAAGAAGGACAUGGGGGUGUGUUUAUUGGAUGUUUUGGGAUAUGUUUUUUUUUUUAUAUAAAAUUUAUAGUGUUUUAACAAGUUCUUGUAGUUAAAGUUGAGAAAAAUUUUUUGUCUAUUAAAACAUGCCAAACGGCGAUGCUAUAUAUCCAAAAUAAAAUUUUCAAGGGUGAAAAAAAUGAAAAUUUGAAAUGCAAUACGAUAGAAAUCAAAUAACUUUAGGAUAUGAAGUGCCCAAACAAAAAUUCAAAGUGCAACGUGAAAAUCAUUGAGAAUAUUGAGAGUGCAGCUAGUAGAACUAAUCUUGGUUUACCAUCAUAUAUUAGCAAUUCUAGAUAUGUUUUUCCCACAAAACAAUGUCCCACAGAUUAUACAUAUAUCUAUACGUGUGUAAUCCUCAACUUUAUUUUGUGAAACGGCUCUUGAAAACUAGAAAUACAAUUCAGCAAAGGUAAUUAUCAUUGGAACUCUAAUAUCUGUUAACCAGACUUCUCUUAACUCCCUUAAUUUACGUGAAAAGACAUUAAUACAUUAAUUUCAAUUAUAAUUACAACCAACCCCUUUUUUUCCUGUAUAACAACUGAAAUAUAUGGUAUGGCAUUCAUUUUUCCAUUUGAUUAAAAUAGUUAAAAAGAGUGCUAUUUGAAUUAGUACUCUGGAGUAUAAAGAAAUAUGGAUAGAUGAAAAUCUUUGACUUUCAAAAGGAAAAUUGGAAAGGGCGGCGUAAAAUAGUACAUUACCUCAACGGUGGACAAAGAUAGAGUAACAUAUUUGGCAUUUUUCAACUGCUCCAGAAACUUGAUCAGAUUCAUGGGCAUCUUUUCUUCGAUUUGAUCUGUAUAUGGACGUUCGAGAAGUGGGUAUAGGUCCACAUAAACCGUCUCUAGACAGGGAAGAUCCUCCAUAGCACAAACCAAAGAAACUUGACCCUCAAACUUGAAUGAAGUCAAGUUUGGGGCAGAAAUAGUUCCCAUCUUCGAUUCUGAUGAAAACUGAGGAAGAGAACCAUAAAACAACAAUUCCAAUACCUUAAGCUUGGAAGCAGAGAUGGCUAAACCAUCAACUAUGCAACAAUUUAAGGUCAACUCUUGAAGAUUUUCGAAACUCGAAAAGGGUUCUUUAGGAAAACAAAAGGGUUCACCAUCCUUAAACUCAAAGCGUUCGAGAUGCAGUGAUUUCAGAGUAGGUAAGCAAAAGGGUUUUGGUAUAAUCAUGCUCUGAGAGUAACUCUUCAGUCUAAGCUUUUGCAGGGAUCGACAGGUGAAAAGGCAUUGAGGAAAUUGGAAUGGUUUGGGAUAAUGAUAUGCAGCUAUAUCAAGUUCUUGAACUUGAUGGUUUAUUGCAUAAUCGACACAGUUAUAAACAAAGCUUGGAUCAACAUUAACGCUAACGCCAAAGGCUAAUCGAAAUUUAUGUAUGCUUGAGCUGUUGUCGCGAUGAGAAAGAACUUGAUUAACGAAAUGAGUAUAAGGAAGCAAGAUUUGUUGAGAUUGCCAUACCGGGGAAGGAGAUUGGAAUCUGUAUCGGUCAAAAUCAAAGUUGAGAUCCGGAAGGUAAGUCCAGAGGGGAAUCCACCUUUUGGACAAUUCAAUAGUUUGAAUAGACUCUUUGAGGUCGAGAAAUGAAAGGAUUUUGCAGAGAAUGGAAUCAGGUAAGUUGCUGAUUCUGUCUUGAUUCAUAUUGACGAACUUUUGCUUGCUCUUGGAUGAUUUCUUCAUAAGCCAACCUGAAUUUUGGUGAAAUUAACAGAGUAUUAUCUGUAAUUCUAUUUUUUGGUGCUGGGCUGAUUCUCACAGAUCUUGGUUUGAAGCUAGGAGUCAACCUAAUGCCAGAAGUCUAUAAGAAAGUUAGUAUUUUAAAGAUAAGACUUUUAUGCUUGUUGACUAAGUCUCUUUCCUCAUUUCUAAGUAAUUUCUUUCCAAUCAACAAGAAUUUGUCACCUAAAUAUUUGUUUCUAUGUAGAUGUGUUGCACAAUAAAAUGUUCUCAAUUCCAUGCCUUAUCGUGAUUUUUAUUUUGAGAAAUGGCCCUUGCAAGUUGUUAAAAGUAAUUAUUAUUGGCACUCCUAUAUUUGUUAAUGAUAUUUUUUUUCUCGGUCACAUAAUAGGGAAUAAAUUCCCGUACUUUUAAUCGUGACAACCUUGAAUAUUCACUUGAUACUAAAGAAACAUUCGUUUUCCCAUUUUAUCCCCCGUUAGAGGGAAAGUAACACAUGCAUGCAGGAUAACUCAAAAAAAUUAAGGGUAAAAAUGAUAUUCAGCCUCUCAUAUAAAAGAAUAAAAAAUUAUACUAAAUGAAAAAAAAAUACUUGAACUAUUUAUACAUUAAUAAAUAGCAUCUUUAUCAUAUUGAUUGUUUGUGCAUUUAUACUUGUAUGAUAAAGUUUCUAGGAUAAACUUAAUCAAUGAAAUCAUAAGUGUUAUGAUGGUGAAAUUUAUUUGAUUAAGUAUAAAGUUUAUUCUAAAAUAUCUAUAGUCAAAAUAUUAACAAGAAUGAGACAUUAUUAAUAUGGUUAAACUAGCAUAUACUAUAUCGCUUCCAUUAGGGACGUAGUAGAUCUCAUCUAUUGUGAUGUGUCAGAUACCUAAACUAAUAUAUGGUUACGUGAUGGUAUGAUCAAGUUCACUAUAUUGAUCUGCAUAGAGAUUUCUUUUGUGCAAAAAGAAUUAAUCUUUAAAUGAUGUUUUAUGUAAGUGAUUCUUGAACUUAGAUUAUCACAGUAUCUUGAGUGUGGAUGAUUGUACUUUAUUUGUUAUAUGAUUACUUUUGUAAAAAUAAUGCUUACAUUAUUAGCAUAUGGGUAUAUACUUGAAGUAUGGAAAGGUAAUGAAUGAUCUUUAAGGAUUUACUAUCUUUUAUGGAAGAAGAGCUCUCAUUAAUGACCAAUUGUAGAAAUAUAGUUCAAAAAAUCUUAAUACUAAGUGAAUGAGUCUUAAAAAAGUGUUUUUAAGUAUUUGUUCUUUUGGAUUUAUAUUUUGGUAUUAGAUAAGAACAUUAAUCGCAUAAUGAAAUUGGCACGAUUCAUUCUAUAAUUAAUGUGAAAUAAGUAUGGUAAAAGAAUAUUAUUUAAAUGGUAAACAUUUGUUGAAAGGCAAUUCUAUAAUUAAAGUGAAAUAAGUAUCGUAAAAGGAUAUUAUUUACAUGGUAAACAUUUGUUGAAAGGUGAAAUCAUUCACUUGACUUUUCUCAUUAUUUGGGUGAUCAUGAUGUAUUGCUAGAUGCCAAUUUUGAUCUAUAAGAAUGUCAAUUGAUUAGUUAAAUCAAUGAUAAUUUAAAAGGAGAUUUAAGUUAUCUAGUUCUUACUAAUCAAGAAUUACAACUCGUUCUUAUUACCAACGUACUAGGGGGAGUGUCCGCGCAUAGCGCGGGUGUUUGGUGCCUGUAGGGAAUGAGAUUUUUUUGUUGAACAAAUAAUAGUACAUUGUGAGAAGAACUAAAAUUUAGUAUGAAAAAAUAAAUGAUAUAAUCAAUCAAUUCAUACAGCGUUACAAUAAAACUGUGUCAAAUUGAAGGUCGUUGAUAAUGCAAAAAGGCAGAGCAACACAAAAAUCUAAUCUUAUUCCAGAAUCCCCACCGAGAGCUCUUUCUUGCUGUUGCUCCAAACCUAUAAGAUUAUAACCAACCCAGACCAAUUGGGGUUAGGUUACGCGAAAAAUGCUAUCUUGCAACUAGACAACGCGAUAAGAGUCGCUAAUUAUAGGUACUAAGAACACACCGACAAAAUUAAGGGAGGAACUGAAAAAUUGAGGUGUGAAAUCUAACCUCAUGCUGAACCACCAGGAAUAGUUGGGACUAGGGCUGUCAACGGUCCGGGUCUAGACCCGGACCCUAACCGGAUCCGUCAAAUUUAUCCGGGUAUGGGUAGGGAUUUAAUUCCGUUACCCGGAUCCGGAUCAGGAUCCGGAUCCAUUUUGCCAAAUAAAAAAACGGGUCAGAUACGGAAUAUAGUAUUCUGACCUGUAUUGGACCCGGAUCCAGAUAUAAAUGGGUUAAUAAUUUAAAAAAUAUAUAUAUUUAUUAAUAUAAUUUGAUUCGGAUGAUGUAUUUGAGUAAUCAAUAUAAUUGGAUCCGGAUCCUAAUCAAUAUAAUUUGAUUAGGGUGAUGUAUUUGAGUAAGGUUAAUUUGAUUUCUUUUCUUAUUUGAUUUUUUUUGUAUUAGUUAGAAAUUAGUUUAUAAAUAUAUGUUUUUUUCUCAUUUUUGUUAGGAAUUAUAAAUUUUGUUAGUUUUUUUUCAAGCAGACCCAGAUCCAGAUCCGGGACCCGUCGGAUCCGAAUCCGAAACAUAGAGUAAAGACCCGUCGGGUAAACGGGUCGGGUCCGGAUCCGAUAUAGUAUGCUGGGUCGGGGUCUGGAAUAAUGAAUUCCGACCCGGACCCGGCCCGUUGACUAGCCUAGCUGGAACUGAAGAGCAUUCUGAGCUAAUUAGUAUGAAGCCAGAUAGAAUUAUCCCAAUUCUAGAAUGCUAACAGGGUGAAACUGAUAAUAAACCGUUUAGGCAUUAAGAUACCAACGGUUUGGCAAUUGAAUUGGGUGUAAUUAAUGACGAAAUAAUAGGUAAUUUCAAAGUUGAGCUCAGAUGGAAGAGAAAACGAUGAGGCAAAUCGUUGUAGACAAAGGCAAAAAGGGAAAACUUAACUCCUGAAGCGGAAAGGGGAUAAAAUGACCAACGUUUGUGGCUCAUAAAUGCAGAUUAUAAAUGAUAGAGAAAUGGCUUCCUACCAUUGAUAGGGAAAUCGUUAGCUCAUUUCCUAAAUCCGAUUGCUAUUCAAAUAUUUCAGACAAAGCAACAUCUCAAACUGUUAUUUGCGGCUGAAAAGGGGAAUAAUUGGUAGUUAAGGGAUAUUCUGGUAAUUACACCAACAUACAAGCAUAUAUGGGCCGUACAAAAUGCAAAAACAGUUGCACACUAAUUACACAUUCCAUCAAUACCCAAAUGACUCAUUAAUGACAACUUUAAAUGUAUUAAAAUGGGGUCAUUUCAGUAAACAUACCCAAAUACAUGCUUCCUUAACUUAUACCUGAAUCUUUUAAACUAAUAUACAACAUUUCACAUUCCUAGAAAGCCCCUACCUAUGCGGUUGAAAUUCAACCUAUUCUUUGACCAAAACUCAAUCUUAUAUAGUAUAAGGAUUUGAGAACCUAAUGGGUCACACACACUAAAAAUUCCUUCAGCCAGAUUAAAUGAAUUUCAAGUAAGAAUUUGAAAGAUAAGUUUUAUAAUUUAUAAUUUAAUUUGUGAGAUAAAUUAAACUUAAGGGACUAAUGUCGCAAUUAUGGUUGAAUCUUUCAAUAUAAGGAGUUGUACAGGGGUAAUGAAACCAAAAACCAAUGCUUUAGGAAAUUAGUUUCGGGUUUCCAUUACGAUCGGGUGAACUUAUUGUCUAUAUAUACCCUCUUAAACUUUUGAUGGCAAGACAAGUUUUACACACAAUUUUGGUGAGAUUUUUGCUGGAAAAUUUUGAAGGAAAAUAUAUCAUAAUUUGGCUAGAAAGAUAAAGGAAGAAGUCAUUCCUUUCUCUCUCUCUCUGUUGGCUGAAACCGUAGUUGGGUUUAGGGUAAAUUUUCUUUGCCAUCUUUUGUGUGUUAUUGUCUUAGAAUUAGCUAGCACUAGCAAGAACUAAUUCUGUUUUGGAGGUUUUGGCUAAGGGGUUCAUGUAGCGGUUUUGUGGAUCUCUUGCCAUUCCGACAAACACUCCAACUGUUUGUAUGUUUCUCUGUUGAUUGAGGUAACAUAUUCGAACAUCCAUUUUAGUUGCAUUUGAUUUAUCAAUGCUAAAGGUCCUCUAAGAGAUAAAAAAAAUUUAAAUUUUCGCUGCCUUUAUCUCUAUGAUUCCUUAAAGUGGUAUCAAAGCCAACCUUAAUGAAAACAUGCUACUUGUUUAUUUAGUUGUUAUAUAUGUUAAAUUAGAUUUAGUUAUAUGUGAUUCAAGAGUUGUUUAAAAAUUAUUGCUUAGAAGAAAAAUAAAAUUUCAAAAUUUUGGAAAAUUUUCAUCUUAUAGUUUUUAUGAAAAAUAAGUAUUUAUCGGACUAGUUUUAUCAUAAAAAAUAAGAUUCUUUUUGUUGUCUAAAUUUUCAAAAAAUUGAACAUCAUUCGUGGCUAAAAAUUUGAUGAAAAAUUAGAUUUUUUGUCGGAUUAGUUUCAUGAAAUUGUCAAAUAAAAUCUAAUUUGGGUUUCAUUGGUUUAGCAUUUGAUUACAUGCUAUAUUGGUGAAAUAUCAAUAUAAUUUACAAUGGAAGCAAAUUUAAAAAGUUUUUUUCUUCAAGUAUUUCUGAUAGUCAAUUACAAUAACAAAUAAGAUUUAAGUGUUUAAGUUUGUUUUUUUUAAUACUUACCACUUUCAAAAAAAAGCAAAUUUAGAGCGAGAGAGACGUUCAUGGCAAAUUUAUAUACCAAAGUCUAAUUUAGUUCUUUCGAACCAGAAGUUUGUAUCAACCUUGCUUAUAUUGUAAAUGGCGGUCAUAUAAAAGUAAACACAAAACUUUUUAAGGGUUUUGGAAGGUUAGAAAAUGAAACUACAAUUGGAAAAUGGAAUAGUAUAGGAACAAGAAAAAUUAUUACCUAAUUAUCUAUAGUUGGUUGGAUAACGUCCUAAAGAGCUUUUAAGAAAUCUGCAAUAAGUUUUGUCCCCAUUGAACAAAUUUUUUGCUGCGCAACUUUAUACUAAAUCAACAUAUUCUAAAGGCUGAAAUGAGUUUAAUUUAAUCGAACUCCCUAAUGUUCAAGUUUGAUUAUUUUAAUGAGUUUGAAAUUUGUUCAAAUAUAUAUUAUUUGUUUAUGGAGCUGAACUCAAACAAAUUUAUACCCAGAUUCGCUUGACUUGACCUUGAAUGCCUUACAUUUUUUACUUAUAAUUUUAAUUUUAAGCCAAAAAAAAGUGCAACUCUUUCUUUAUGAGUGCACAUUUGAAUUAGUAUACGAUUAUAGCUCCACACACUCGAUAGAGAAAUGCAAGCAUGUAUACAGCACUAGUGGACGCCUUCAAGCAUGCUUAUUCCAAUAUGCACAAACAGUGACGGGCGCAAAAUUUUGGUUCGGGGGAUAAAUGAUCAAAUAAUCAGCAACAAAAAAUUAUCAAAAUAAAUCAUACACACUAACUUAAAAUCAAAGUCUUAAAACCAAAGUUUAAUAGAGGAUAACUAAACACAUGUUUGUAAUAAUAAGAGAUAAAAUAUAAGCAAAAGAUGAAAAUUAACUCAAGAACCAAAAUCAUAUAAACAUUAACUAAAUUCAAUAAAUAGACAUUAUUCCUAUACAAAUUAAUACAAAAUUAGAAUAAGAGCAGUUGAAAAAUUAAUAAUCAUCAAAAAGAAUAUCUAAAUCACAAAUUUAAAAUAAGUGUAUGUGUCUAAAUAAUGAAUGAUUAUGAAUCAAAAUAUAGAGGUAUUAUAGAGAAAAAAAUUAUACUUGCCUUCAAAAUAAGGAGUUUGGGAAAGGAUGAAUAUUUGAGAUGAGUUGAACGAAUUUGGAGAAAGAUCAAUGAUUGCUUGUUCAUUUAGAUGUUAACUUUUGACUAUACAUCAUGCCAAUCACGUAUAAAUAUAAGUUUUAACAUGAUUAAAUUUCCUUAUAUUUAUCAAUUAUUUGUUUCCGUACCUUAACUAAUAUAAGGGUACGCUAAAUACAUUAAAGUUAUAAUAAUGAGAUUUAAUAUAUACACACACAUACAUAUAUAAGGAAAUUAGAAUGAGUUAUUAUGAAACACAUUUUUAAAGAGAAAUUGAAGGAGAUAAACAUAUUAACUAAUCAAAAGAAACUUGUUGAGGGGGCAAAAUGAUAGAGUUCAAACUUAAAUCUAAUACUCUAUGAAGAAGUUUUGGAACCCCCCAUAGGGGUAGGCAUGGAUCAGGUACCUACUCUUAACAUGAUUUGGCUGAUUUGACCCUAAUAUAUCGAAUCAAUUAUUUUAUGAUCUUAAUCCGCUCCUAAUGUCUCGAGGUACCCACUACUCGGAUAUCCAACAGAAAGGGGCUGGUCAUGGGUACCCACCUCUAAAAAAAACUAUUUUUUAAUAAAAAAAUUAUUUUCCACUUAAUACAACAUGUUUUCUAAUAUGAAAAAAAACCCUGCUUUCCAAUUAAUACUGGUAGAGAUAUUGUAAUCAAAAUCCAUACAGCACCAUUCUCAUACAUUUCAUCCAACAAUUAAAUCAAUCUCAUAAAUUUAGUGCAUAUUAGAAUUAUAAUAUCUAAUAGAUACGAAGUUUCACGAUAAUUUUGAGUACAUCACCAUUCUUACACAUUUCACCCUUCUACAACACAACAAACACAAGGAUAAUAAGUAUUCGGCAACUUUCCCAAAUUUCUUAAGGAUGUUAUGGUACAAGACUAUAUCCCAAAUGAGUCAACUGUGGAAUCAAGUUUGGAAAAACAAUUGAACAAAGCUAAUUACUUUUGGAAAAAGUAUAACCAAAAUAAACUUGAAAAAUCUUCCCCAACUUCUUUACAUUUUGGAAUAGACCUUAUGGCAUUAAAGGUGAUGAAAAAGAAAAAUAAAUUUCUUACACUAAAAUAAAAGAGACAAAUUUAAGAGAUAUAAUUGCAGUAAAAUAAAUCAAAGAAAUAAAUAAAUGAAAGACGCAAUUUUUUUAAUUACCUAGCUAAUAGAAAAUUGGAGCUCCAAACACAAAUCUUUGAUUGAAUUGAUGGAAAAUUUGCAGGAAAGAUCGAUGGAGGUAGAAUAAAAAUGAAAAUGAUGAAAGGGAUGAACAAUUUUUAUGAUAGAGUUUUACAAAUUUUUCUUCGUUUUGUUCAUUUGGUUCAGGUUUCACUGAGAAUAUUCACUUUCUUCAGACAAGAUGAGGAGAGGCGAAUCAUAUGAGCUCAGAAAGAAGGCUGUGGGCCACUUCACUUACACUUAGGAUUAACAAUUAUAAAAUUAUAAAAUGACCCCUAAUUUUUUAACAUUUAUAUAAUAUACCUUGGGGGUCGGGUACCCGCGGGUUUUUAUUUUUCUGAUCCGUAUCCAUAUCCAUUUUUUAUAGAUACCUGACCAUAAUCUACCCCGCUAAGAAAAAUCGGAUCAAAUAUCCUAUUUUUUGGAUUGGAUCGGUCAGGUUCAUCGGGUUUUCGGAUCGGCAAAUUUUUUUGCCACCCCUACCCCCUCCUCCUUCCAAAAAAAAAAAAAAAAAACCUUAUGUCCAUCGUUGUGCACAAGGCUAUAGACAAAAGUACAUAUAUAUAUAUAUAUAUAUAUUUUUUGCACUUCUCUUUGUGCACAUGUGGUUUUCUCUUAAACAAAUUUUUUUAUUAAAUUGUUUUAGCAGGGGAGAAAUUGAAUUUAAGAAGCAGAGUAGAAUUUAAGAAGGAGGCAACAAAUAGAAAAAUUAGAAUUCAGAAUCUCUAAUUUUCGAGAUCUGAACCUUACUAAACCAAGACUUCCUCGACCUCUCUUGGACUAAUUGUUGGUUGUGCGUGCGAUCUUAAAUAUAAUUUAUUUGGUACAAUUCAAGAAAGAGGCUUGAAAUAAACUUUUGUUGAUAUAUAACUUAAAUAUAAAUUAGGGAUAAUUUCAAAAACCUCCCCUGAGGUUUCGAAUAAUUUCACUGGCUCCCCUAAGUUUCAAAAAUUACACUUAUCUCCCUUGUUUAUUUAAAAUGACAAUACUAACCUUAAUAUUUUUGAUAAAACUCUCUUGUUGCCAUGUUUAUGCAAAGGAUGGAUUUAAUAGUUUUUUUUACCAUUUUCCUUCUUAUUCAUUUCUCUUAUAUUUCAUUAGAAAUAUAGAAGAACUAUCAAUAUUGUCCCUAAUAUCUAUCCAAAAACGUUAAACUAGUAAUAUUUUUUUUAUAACUUUUAAUAUCCUCCAAUUUUUUUGUAGCUCUUUUUUUUGGGUAUCAAAAUCAAGAAUAAGUCAACAAUGAUUAAAAACAAAUGGCUCAAAAUCAUUACCAAUUUAUGAUAGUUCCACCACUAAACUAGUCCAUAAAUUUUUAUUAAAAAAAUAGUCCAUAAGAUUUAAAGAAAAAAAUAGCACUUUCUUGUCUAUCUUAAAAAAAAUUAUAUUCCCAAUAAAGUACUAUGAAAAAUACCCUAUUAUAGCAAAAGAUUUAUUGUUAUAGUUGAUUAUUAAAUAACAAAUAUUAGUAUGAAAAACUUGAUACUCUUUUUGUUUAGAAGAAUAAAUUGAACUUUGUAAGAUAAGGGCAUUUUAGGGUAUUCAUUAAAUUUUCUACUCUAUUUUAAAGUUUGAUUACCAAAGUGUCAAAUCAAGGGAGGUAAGUCUAAUUUUUAAAACAUUAAAGGUACUAAGUGAAAUAGUAAGAAGCCUCAAGGGAGGUUUCUGAAAUUAUCCCUAUAAAUUAUGUUACAAUUAAUUGCUGGUUCUAUUUUUAUGCACUUAUGCUCCUCUUUUGAACCAAUUUUUGGGUGUGCCAAUUGCUAAACAAGUUAUCACCAUCUUCAAUUAAAGUUGAGGGAAGUGGCUUGUUUUCAAACUUAUCCUCUAAUGGCAUCAAAAUACUUCUAUCUAGCUGCGUAUUCCCUAAAAUUACUAUUACUUAAAAAUGAAAGUUUGAGAAGACUAAAUUGCCUAAAUAUAAAAUUUCAUGGCCUAAAUCUAUUUGGAUCAAUCUUUUCUAUGCUAUAAUUACAUGCAUUGAUAGGUUUGGAUGCAUGGCACAUCAUCACAAUUUGAUUUUGAACACCAAAUCUUACAUAUAUGGCAUGUAUCUAAAACCGCUAGUAUAUAUAUGCCAUCAAUACAUAAAAGAUUUACUUAAUCUAUUUUAGUUAAAAAAAAUGGUCAUAUGACUAAACAAGUAAUUUUCCACAUUAAAGAGUAAAAGGGAUAAGGUAAGUACCUCAAUUUGGUCUCCUAUAUAGAUAGCUAGAUCAUUAGGAGUGUAGUUCACAUCAUACCAAUGGCCAUCUUGGAAGGCUUGUAGUCCUUGGAUUUCAUUUGGGACAAGAAUGGUUAUGGCUGACAUAUCAGUGUGGGCAGGUACACCAAGGGCUACAUAAGGGCAGGGACAUGGUGGAUAAUAAUUUAUCUUCAAAUUGUAGACCAACUCAUUGGCCCCAACACCAUCCUUGGCCUACAUCCAAGGUGGGUUGGGGUUCCUGAUGAUCCAUGUCAGUUUGUGCCUUUCUUCUAAAAUAGAAAUAGUUGUAAAUGGUUGCAGUUUGACCCAAAAAAAAAAAAAGAGAAGUUAGAAAAUAGGGAUAAUUUCAGAAACCUCCCCCCUGAGGUUUCUAACAAUUUCACUGAGCUCCUCUAAGAUUUGAAAAAUUGCACACACCUCCCUUAUCAUUUAAAAUGACAAUUUUACUCUUAAAUAUUUUAAUGAAAUUCCCUUAUUUGGUAUGCAUAUACUUAGAAUGAGUUUUAAAAUUAUUUUUUCAUUCUUUUUCCUUCUUAUUCCUUUUUUAAAAUUUUUCGUCAAUAAAACUAUAAAACUACUACUAUUGCUUCUAGUUUCUAUUAUAACCAAAUGUUGAACUAAUAAUUUUUUUGACAAGUGAAUUUUAUAUGUUAUCCAAUGUUUUUGUUGAUCUUUGUUUUCUAUUUUUUGGUAUUAAAAUUAACAAUAAAUCAAAAGGAAAUGGCCCAAAAACACUACUAAAUUAUGAUAAUCCCACUAUUCCAAAAAUUCAUAAAUUCUAAAUGAAUUAUUUCAACAAUUUCUUUUCUAUCUUAUAAAUCUAAAUCCAUUAUAAAAUACCAUCAAAAGUAUCAUAUCAUAGUAAUAAAUUAUUAUUAUAGUUGUUUAUAGUAGAUAUGGAAUGAAAAAUUUGGUACCUUUUCCUUAUAAUUAUACUAAAUAAUCUUAUAAUUAUAUAGGGAAAUAAAUUAAAACUCAUUACACAAGUGCAUUUCUGAGUAUUCAUUUACAAAAUUGACCAAGUCAAUAUUAUUUUAAGGUUUUGUUACUAAAACUAUCAAAUCAAGGGAGGUAAGUGUAAUUUUUCAAAUCAUAGGGGAGCUCAGUGAAAUUGCCAGAAAUCUCAGGGGAGGUUUUUGAAAUUAUCCCUAAAAAAUAUUGUGAUUUAUAAAUAGUUUUUAAUUAAUGGUUGUAUAAGUAUUUUGUAAUUAUUAAAUAUUAUGAUUUAUAAAUAGUUUCUAAUUAUUAAUUCUAUAAUAGAUAGUUGUAAUUAUUGAAAAUGUUGCAUCCUAUUAUUUUCUAUGUUUAUUCUUAAAAUUUGGAACUGCUUAGUUCUAGUUUAAAUACAGUAAUACAAUUAUUUAAAAUCUAGGGAAUAAAUAUUAAAAUCUACUGAAUAACAAAGAAGGCGAUAAAAAAAAUAACGAAAACAUGUGCUGCUUACUGCCUGGAUGUGCAAAGGCCAUGGAUUCCAGGAAACAAGUAUUUUUGAUUGCUGGGAAGGAAAUUAAAGCUAAAGCUGGAUCGAAAAAGAAAUUAGAAACUAGAAGGAGGAAAAUAGGAUUUAAAAAAAAAUUUAAGUUUCCUAAAAUACAUUUGAGGUGGCAAUCCACGUGUGCAAUUCAGGUAGGAAGUAAUUCUUUAGCGACAAUUUUGGGGUUGACAUAUCAGUCCUCUUAAAUUUUAGAGACUAGGAUUUUAUUUUUUUAGAGACUAGAAUUUAGAUUGAAUAAUCAUUUCUCCUGAAAAGAAAACGUAAUUCCAUUUGCGGUUUCAUAUGAUUGCUACCUAAAACAUCUUUGUGCUUGUGAGAUUUUACAGUGCAGAAAUUGAAAUAAAUAAAUAAAUAUAUUGUGGUUACUUUCCAAAGUUCAACUCAAACUUUAUACAUGAAUUCCACCCUGCCAAAAUGAAAAUAAAUCAAUGUCAAAAAAAAAAAAAAAAGAUCACCUAGUACGUGUUCGUGAUGCUAAGGAUUAAAGAAUUUGAUGAUGGCUAUCAAAACAAUUAUACUACUCUAAUCGGACAAGGUUAGCAUUGAGAAUUGAGAAUUUGUGCGUUGAAAAUUGAGAAUGAAUACAACAAAAAAGUUUGUUUAUUUUUCCAUGAGUCAGUACAAUGAGUGGGUCAUGCGUGUCUAAGCUGUUGCAAUAAUUUGUAUUGUAAAUAAAAUAAAAAUGAGACCUGUUAGAAUAAAGAAACUAGAGCUUAAGGGUCAAAUGGAAGUCAGAAAGUUUCUAAAACCUUUAUGGCAGUUUCUACCGAUUGAAGAAGCUUAAAUGGAGCCUCUUAAUGUCUCUUCAAUGGUGCCUCUUAAUGUGCAAAAACGAGAGACAUAGUGGCUAAUCGGUUUGUGAACCUUGGUUUGUGCCCUUUACUAUAAAAUAACAAACCUUUGUGUAGUAGGGGCAAAUAACACUUUAAAGAUAGUACCAAACACUCCUCAAGAUCAUCAUAUUCAUCCCCAAUUUCUUAACAAAAUUUGUGUAGUACAAAUUUCUAUACUUUUGUGUGCUUGUGUACCAAUUCCAUCAACAAUUUUAAGGUGUUAUUUUGAGAGUAAUUUGGUGCAAGAGAGUCUACUACUGUAAAGGUACGAAAAUGUGAUCCAGAAUUACAACCAAUUUCUGCUCCUCGAGAUGAUGAUAGCAAGGCGGGUGAAAGAAAUGCAAAAGUGGAUAAAGUGCUCUGCAGAGAGCCUCACGAAUUACUACAUCACCCGGUAGAGAAGUUUGGACUGCAUUAGAGUAUAAGAAAACUCAAGUGAGAAUUGAGGCGGACAAAUUUCUUAUUAAAUGUUUUGAAUUUUGUAUUCUUGAUAGUUCUUCUCUCCUUGACCAAGUAAUGAACUACUAGUGUUGAUAACUAAACUUGAAGAUCAUGGAGUGGAGAUUUAUGUAUUAUUUCAUGGUGGGAGUAAAUAUUAAAAAUUAUUCCUAGUUGAAAUGACUACAAAAUAAACUUACUACAUACUAAUAAGGCAUUCUUGGUGGAUCAUGGUCAAAAGCAUCUUUGUAUGAAGGAAGAUGCUAGAAUUUCCUAAAAAGGAAAUUGAUAUUGAUCCUAUGGAGAAUAAUGUAGAGAAGAAGAAGAAUAGCAACAAUAGCCUUGUUGGAGGGCCUAAGAAAAGAAAAUUUUCUAGGCAAAAGUACUAAGUUCAAGGAUGAGGAGAAUUAGUAUUGUCCUAGGUGUAUUUAUUAAACAAGGCUAUAUCUCAUGUUUAACAUGGUUACUAUUAAAUGUGAAAAUUCUACUUAUUUAUUUGAAUUUUCUUAUUCUUUGUGGCUUGGUAGUUUAUGACAUAUAAAUAUAGAGUAUAAUAUUUUAUGUCAAAAUAUAGCCUAAAAAAAGAAAUGUGUAACAUGCAUUCAAAGGUGAUAAUAGAAAUUUUAUUACUUUCAUAUGUAUCUGUGUUACUCUCAAACGGAUUUAGGUACUACAAAUUUUGCUAAUUGUAUUUGUUCUAAAUUCAGUCAAGAGUCUGUUGCGAUCAUAAGAUGUUAAUUGUUGAAGUCAAAACUUUGGCUACUACAUGUAUAAAAAGGCGAAGUGGUUUAGGGUUUGUGGCCCUAGCCUAUGCCUCUAGCCUCCUUAGUUUGCAGUGUGUAGCUACUAUAUCUAGAAUUUUGAAUAAGGUGUAAUGAUAAAUCUAGACAAGUUAAGUCUAAGAUAUGAGUAUUUUAGCAAACGUUAAAAGAAUGACAUUGUGUUUGUUGUAUAUUCUCAUAUACAACAAUAAAAGAUAUCCGUCGACUAAGUUCUUGUUUAGGGACUCGGUGAAUCUAACAUCAUUGGGUAAGGAGGCUAAAACAUUAAUAUAAAAUCACUUGCAAUGGGAAUCCUAUCUUGAUUCUAGCACUACCACUAGAUGAAAAGGUUUAAGGGGGUAACAAGAAGUUGCCAAGUGAUUGUGAGUACUAGGUAUUAUUGUAUACAUUCUCACCCCACUAGUGCACAAGAGGUUGAGUAUAUAUUGAAAUUAUAUACUCUUAGUGAAGUGUAAAUUCUUUCUUAGUGCUUGGUCCUACGAAGUUUGAAAGUUUUUUCACCUAUAUGAUCAUAGGAGUGGUGCAACUUCUAACAAAGGUUGGGUUUGCUUUUGUAUAUAAUCAUGAAUCUAGGAUGGAGCACAUGAUCAAUAAUAGUGCUAAAGUUCUUUGUGAAUUUAGCUCAAUCCACUUUCAAAUUUUACAUUUAUAAAAUUCUAAAUACCUCAUAUAUAAUUUUUUUGCAAGUAUAUGGGUCGAGAUUGACAGUAAAAUAUUAAGGAUCGAACUUAUAAGAAAGAAUAGAUAACUACCGGUGCUACUAAAGCUCCUCCAUUAUUUAGACAAUCAAUAAACUGAAUAAAAUAAAACUAAACUAAAAUGUGCAAGAAAAUAGCAAAUAAAAACUCCUUAGGUCAUGAUACCCCUAACUAUUCAUGCAAAUGCAAUUUUUGGAUCAUUGAGCUCUACUAUCUUAGGCUCCAUUUAAAUUCACCUGUUUUUCAAAAAAUAGUUUUUCAAAUACAAUGUUACAGUAAUACACAAAUAAAAAUAACUCCAAAACACCUCAUCCAUACAAUAUAUCAAAAACAACUCAUAAAUAUACAAAAAAAACUUUAAAAAAUAAAUUUUACAACAUCUUUCAUCUAUUAUCACUAUCCACCACCAAUCCCACCCACCACUGCGACCACCCUCUCCUUCUUCGUUUCUCCUCCCCUCUCUUAUUUCUCCUUCUCUUUCCCUCUUUCUCCUCCCUCUCCUUCCUCCGCCUCUAUUCCCAUUCCCUCUCUUUUCCUCACUAUCCCCCGUCCCUCCCUUCCCUCCUUUGAUCUAGUUUCAACUAGAUCACGAUAGAGAAGAAGGGAGGGGAGGGGCUAGAUUGGGGGAGGGGGGAAAGGAAAGGACGAGGAGUGGUGAGGAAGAGAAAGGGAGAGGAUAAAGGAGGAGGGAGGGGGUAGGUGAGGUGGUGAUGAUUCCGAGUGGUAGUGUUAAUUUGUAAAAGGCAUUCUAAAUAAAAUUUUUAAUUUUAAAAAGUACUCCAAAAUAUAUUUCUAAAAUCCUUCAAAAACAUCACAAAAAAUAUCUACAAUAAAAGUUUUUCAUAUACACUAUUACAGUAAAAUAUUUCAAAAAUACUUUUGAAAAUAGCUAAUCCAAACGGAGCCUUAGUUAGUUAUGUCGUAAUUUCCUUAUGUAUAUAAAACUUACUCUCGUAGUGAAUCAACUAUACAUAUAACUAAUUCAGACAUACUUUCAUGGUUAUAAAAUUAGUUAUAAAUUCAUUACCUUUACGAAAUUAGAUGGAACAAGCCAGACAGGUACACUUCAAUUCUCGUGAGUGUACUUCCAAAAUUUAGCACUUCUUUGAACUAGUGUUAGAUUCUAAUUAUCAUUACAAAUUUAAUACCUUAAGAUUAUUACAAUUAAUGAUCAGUUAAUCAUGAUUAUAAAAGAAAAAGUACUAAAUAACAUACUCAAAAUAAUAGCAUCAAAUAGUCAAAUAAUCAGCACAAACAAUCAUAGAAAGUUCAAUCAAAAUUCAAGGCAUAAACUUUAAAAAUGCAUAAUGAAGAUAAUAUCCAAACUUGUAUAAUAACUAAGCAUGAAAUCCAAUAAAAGAAAGAAAGUGGUAUGAGAGGUAUCAUCCUUGUCACAUGAGAUCAAACUCUCCAUCUUUACCCCUCAAUUUUCAUCCAAGUUUAGCUAUAUACAAGAAAUGGAUGAAACUCUAAACUAUCAUACACUAACCUAAACUAAAGAACUAAGAAACUAGCUAAAAUCUACAUUUUUGUGAUGUUUUCUUGCACUUCUCCAAACUCUCGUAAAAUGAAAAAUACAAGUUCUAUUCAUAGAGAAAUAUUCAAAUCCUUCAUUUGCAUCUUCAAUGUGAACAUAACUCCAAAUAAAUCAACAAUUUCGGCUCCAAGCUAAAUCACAUCAUUAUAGGAAAAAAAAGGUCAAGAAUUACUGCUAGAAUCUCAUGUUUUAGCUGUAAAUAAGUUGCCAAGCAUCCCUCAAAAGAUGUAAAAUAAUGGAGGUGAAAAUAAGUUAAGCAAGUGGAAGCUGCAAAAUUUGACCAGAAUCCCUCUAGUAAUCCCUCCAAAAUUGGCCAAUUCUUUGGCUGGAUUCCUCCAAUGUGUUUUCUUCAAUUUUUGUUUCUUAUUCCAACUUAAUACCUUGAAUCCCUUCGACAAUCCCUCCAAAAACUAACCGAAUUCUUUGGAGGGAUCCGAGUCAACUUUCUUUUUUGAUAUUUUUCUUCGUUUUCUUUUUCUUGUAACUCGAAUCAUUUUUGAAACUCGUCAUCCUUACUAACUUUAGGACUCAAUCAACAUAAUGCAAGCUUAUUUCUUGUCCAAAAUGAAGUCCAAUUUCCAAUUCCUACAAAAACAACCAAAAAUAUACAAGUAAAAGGGACAAAAUUCUCCUUUUAAGUACAAAGCAGCAUUUAGAACUAAUUCUAGCAAAAAAAUUAACAAUUUUUUCUUAUAAUAUUGAAAAAGUGACUACCCAGAUGACCUUUUUUUCUUGGCAUACAAAUGUCCUUCCAACUCACUUCAUCACCAUAACAAAAUUUUUGUUCAAAAAGACCACAAAAGAGCUGCUAAAAUAUUCUCAAUUUUCUUAAUAACAUCCUUAGGUAGAAUAAAGGCACUAGACUAGUAUAGAUGAAUACCAGAAAAACAGAUUUGAUUAACUCUGCCUUAUAUUUUAUCAAAUAUUGGUUGACAAUCUUUGUAGAGCAAUCUUGAGGAUAUCAAUGGUAGGCCUAGAUACUUCAUAGGUAAUAGUCCUUUUGGCAUCUUGACAAUAUCCCAACUGCAGUAGCUUUUUGCUUAUCAAUUCCUGAAUAAAAAAGCUUGGCAUUUCUAUAGAUUAGGCUGCAAACCUGAAAAUGGUCAGUUUGGUCUAUUAUCUUUGAAGUUUUAAUCAAUUUAAUCCCUUAUCUAUUAUUCUAACCAUUUUUCCCUUACCUUUACUAUGAAAGGCCAAUCUAGACCCUCUAAUUAACAAAAUUUAAAAACUUCUAACCGAGUUAGUCCCGAACACAGUAUGUGCAUCACCAAAAAUGACUAUUUUGCUCUAUUAUCACUAUAGUCAUAUUGAAUUUGGUUCCUCGUAGGUCGCCACAUAACUGUUACUGCGUGUGUGUGCUUUUUUUCAAAAAAAUCUACUUUUUUUUUUUAAUUUCAAGGAUAGACUUGUAGUACAAAGAACUGGCUCUAUUAGGAUUUUCUAAUUUUCCAUCGAAAGUCCUAUAUUGAUUUUAUUUUGUGAAAAUGAGAGUUUACAUUAUCAAAAGGAUAAAACAAACAACUUUGAAGAUAAUGGAUUAAAAUGGUUAUUUUUAACAAUGCACAUUUAUUGCACCUGACUAACUCCUCUAUAAAUUUUCAAUUUUCUAUUAGAUGUCCUAAAUUGAUAUUUUUCUUUUUUAUAAAGAUAAGGGACUAAAAGGAUUGCAUCAAUUGAUGAGAACUAAAUUGACCAAGAUCCCAAAGAUAAGAGACCAAAAUUAAACCUAUCAACGGGUCGAGUUCGGGCCAAAAUUGAAAAUUUCGUAUUCAAACCCAUUUUUAUGUAGUAGAACAAAACCCGACCCGUAUAUCCAAUAGGUCUUGAGUUUAGAGUCUCGGAACCAGGUUCGACAGGUCUCGAGUCGGGCCCGAGACAACCCGAAAAGGGCCAACCAAAAAUAAGGCCCAAAACUAUCUACAUAUUAAGAAGUUUGCAAAAAUGAAUUACAAUCAUUUCAAAAUUAAAUCCAAAACCAACCACAAAUCAAUCUCCAAACUUAAACAAAUUAAAUUACAAAGCUAAUCACAAAUAACUUGCAAUAAUCAAUCCAAAACUAAUCGCAAAUCAAUCUAGGGUUUGUUAUUUGUUAAUUUGGUAAAAGAAUGUGUUUAGAAUUAUUUAUACUUUACAAUUAUUAAUAUAUUGUUUUGAUCCGGAUCGGAAUCCUAUAUUUCGUAUCCAACCCGUUUUUUUGUUAGAGUAAAUAGGUACGGAUCCGAGUCUGGAUAUCGGAAUUAUUUCCCAAAUUGAGUGCACCUUUUUACACAGAUCCAUCGUUACGGUAAUUGUAAAGUGCUUGAUGCGAGGUUUAAAGAGUUAAUCAAACAAUUACUAAAAGAUUGCAUAGAAGUUAAAACUGCUUAUUAUUAAUCUGACAACAUCCAGCUCAAAAAAAAAAAAAAAAACUAAAGACAAUAUCCAUAAUCCAAGCUCAUUCUACUUGCCUAUUUGCUUUACUGAGGAAGCUUAUUAAGCUUGCAAUAGGCAUAAUCUUUGAACUUCUUGGUCUUAAAUUUUGGCGGAUUUUCCUCAUUCACAAGCUUUGGAAUUGGCCCAAUUUCUUGCUCUGGGGGUGGCUCCAGGAACACUGGCCAUGACAUUCUUGUCAUCUCCUUGUUCACGGUUGUUCUGUGGAACACGCUCUUGUACUUUCCAUUGCUUAAAAUCUAUCAAGAGAUUAAUUGGAAAAGUGAAAUCAGCAUUAAAAAAAGAAACAUUAGACAUGCAAGGAAAUCAGAUAAUUGUAUGUUGAAAGAAGAAAUGCCAAAUCCUCGUAAUAGUUGUGAAACUCACAUUGGAGAGCUCAUGCACUUAUGCGGAGAUAGCACAAAUCAUGUAUGGCCAUGGAUAUUUGGAUAGUUAUCCGACGUAUACUGUUCAAAAAUCAGAAAUCUUUUCCUCAUUUUAAUUGAUUACCUUCUAAAUUGAAUUUACAGAUAGCUUAAGAAGUCAAUUAGUAUAAGUUGAUGGAUUAUAGUCAGAAUAUUUCUGUGUAGCAUAUGGAAAUUUGUACAUAUCAAUGUCUUGCAGGACAACCUCCUAGUGAAACAAUUAGUUAAUCAAGAUCUACGAAUAAAUUGCAAAAAAAAAAAAAGAUGAAGGAAAUGUGUCCUAUACAAAGUACUUAAAUUUCUGUGAAAUAAAUUCCUAUCAUAAAGUGCCAGUUCCAAUAUCAAUUUUAAAGUCAAACAACAUAAGCAAAUUAUUCAUUUGCAACAGGCAAAUAAUGCCAAAGAAUUUAGAGACAAAAAAAAAAAAAAGCAUAGAGCAGUCAAGAAAAUGACUUACCUGAAUUUGGUCACCAAUGUGGACAAUAAGGGCAUUUGGGAUGUACUUGACAUCAUACCAAUAAUCAUCCUUAAACACUUGAAGCCCUGGGACCUCAUUGGGGACAAGAAUGGUGAGGCCUGACAUAUCUGUAUGUGCCACUACACCAAGGGCCAAAUCAGGGCGAGGGCAUGGUGGAUAGUAAUUUAUUUUCAUCAUGUAAAUGAGGUCUUCCCCCCCCCAUACCAUCCUUCAUCUCACUUGGUUCUAACCCAAGCCCCUUUGACAGGUACUCAAACAUCUUGUCAGCCACUCCUCUAAGCCUCUUAGCAUAAUCUUCACUUGUCUCUCUGGCAUCCAAAUUCCAAUGGAAGAUAUAACAAUUAGUGGGUAAUUAGUACAAAAUGAUGAAGGCAUACGAGUUACCAACUUAAUUGUAUAGGCAGCAUGAGUGAACAUUCUGUGUACAAUAGGCUUAUUCUCAAUUGAUUCUGAUUUUUAAAUAUCAGUUGAAAGCAAGCUCAAUAAUCACCUUUAGGGUUUGAUUAGCAGUAUUAUUGUACAGCAAUCUUUCCACACUCUACUGCACUUAUCCAAUUGAGACCACCUAAUAGAUAUCUUAAGCACAUUUUAAGGUUUUAAAUAAUAUUAUUUAGUUUACCCUAUAUUAUUGCACUCAAACUGUUAUUUAUUUACUUCAGAAACCUGUGACGUAUGUCUUCACGUAAGCGUCAAAAUAUUUGAGUGCACUUGAUUCUUUCUCCUAAGUUAUAAAUGCCUUAAUUUGUGUAAAACUGAGAGAUCAUAUUUCCCACUUAAACAAGAAAAGAGAAAAAGAAAAAGGUUACAACAAUUAGUUGCUCCUUGUCUUUUCCUUCUUUUUUUUUUCGGAGCUAUAGAUUGCCUUAAACCUCAUAGAGGUGGACUUCGAUUGUCAGUGCAAUCACUAAACAGCAUUUAAUGGCCGAGAUCAGCCCAGCAAAACUUGAGCUAACCUCGACUGUUGAUAUGAAAUUCAUUUGAAUUUUAAAUCAAUGGUCAAGAUCAAUUCAAGUUUGGUUGAGCCAAUCUGAACCUUUAAAAGUUACAGAAGUGCAAACAAUCCGGAUCCCAGAGCAGUUGCCACGCCAGAAGCCCCACCACCGCACUACACGAUUUUUAAAGGGUCAAAUUAUACUUUACCCCCGUGGUACAGGCGUAUGGCUAAUGUUUACAUAACCUCCUCUAAUUUUAAAAAUUAUAUAUAAUCCCCUCCUAAUUUGAAUUAAAGUGUCAAAGUCAAAUUUACCCUUAUUUAAAAAGUUAAAUGGUAUAAGUGACCAAAAUAUAUAAAUAUAAUAUGUAUGACACUCUAAUUUCGUAUAAUUUUAUAUUUUACCAUAUAACCUCUUAUAGUUUAAUACUUUAUCAUAUAACACUCUUGUAAUUUUCAACAUAUAUACACAUAAUCCCCUGUGAGGCUGUAAUCAAUAAAUAAUUUUUAACUUUACAUAAUGGUAUUUUUUACAUUUUAGUUAACUCCAUUAUGAAUUGCAAAUUUCAUCAUUUUGACACUUUAAUCUAAACCGUAAAAAAAUUAUGUAUAACUUUUAAAACUAUAAAGGAGUUAUGUAAUAAAAUAUUAAAUCACAAGGGGUAAAGUGUAAUUUGUCUUUUUAAAGACCAGAUAACAAGGCUGAUUCUACACUGCCCAGUGCAACCAAAUUACAUUUUCUAGUGAUGUAAAUCACAUUUUGAUUAUCUAUAUUUAGAAGCAAAUAUAAAUCAGAUUUCGAUUAGAGUCGUCAAAUUGAAGGAAACAGCUUGACCUUGACAAAAUUGUUGAAGUUUUAAACUUCUUCCAAAUGGUAUCGCUUUCUUUUUUUAGGGAAAAAUUGACAAUUUUGCUUUUAUAAUCUGGUUUUGGCAUGUUAAUGAUCAGGAUCAAAUUGGCCCGCCCGUAAUACUUUCAAUUUCCUCAUGAUCGAAAGACUUUCUGUUCCAAGGCAGAGUAGUUGUCUGCAUCAUAAAGUCAGAAAAUGCUAAAUCCACACUUCUCAUCCUAAAUAUACAAAUUUCAUUGUCAAUAGUACAACAUAAUAGUACAAAUCAUCAAUCCUACUAACAGUAAGAGACAUCAAUGCAUCAAGGUAUCAAUCAGCCCAACUUUGCAAAUGGAAUUUGGUUUUGUACAUUCUGAUUUUCGUUUUCUUCCUUUUUUUAUUCUCUUUUUAAUUAAGUUUGGGUGGCAUGUCCUUUUUUUUUGGGUUUUUACCCUUUUUUUUCUUUUUUAAGAGUUUACUAGUAUAUGUAAAACUUGACAAAGCUAAAUUAAAACCAACAAAGUGCUACUCUUGAUGAUGCAGACAACUAAUUGUUCGGUUUCAAAAACAUGAAUGAUGAGGAAAAUAUCAAACCUGUAAGAGGGUGGAUUUUUAGGCCAAAACCUAUAGUUAAUGGCAGAAGGAGGCCAUAUUAUAUGGAACAAGUGAUCAACCCAUCCUUUCUUGCCCUCAACUUCUUUCUGCAACCUUGUUCCGUAACCCUCAAUAUUCUGAGACCCUGGAAUCUUAGCAACCAGUUCUUUUUCCUCUAGUGGAAGCUCAAAGAAUUCCUUCCCAACUUGCUGCAGUUUCCUCACAACCUCAUCUGGGAUGCCAUGGUUGACAACUUGGAAGAUCCCCCAUUCUCUGCUAGCCUCAGAAAUCAACCCCACAAUUUUGCCUUCAUCAGGAUCGCUCAGAUCAAUCACCGGAACCUCAAGAACCACCCCAUGGAAGGUUGUUACUGCAGGUUGCUCAUUUUCUGAUCUGAUGUAAUCUGUUGGAAUAGUAUCCAUGCAUUUGGAUAGCGAAGCAAUUUGUUGCACUCUUUCCAGCUCCAUUUCUUUUUUUUUUUUCCUCCCUCACUCUCCAACAGAAAAACUUUUGAUGAUUUUCUUUCUUUAUGCUAGAGUCUUGCCUCUUUGCAGCAUAUAUAAAGGGAGGCAAGACAAAAGCUGGAACCAAAUUCAUCAACACCAGCAAUAAUAUGCAUUGUGGAUGUCAUUAAUUUUCUAUGAAAAGAUAAAAAAGGGGUUACGUGGGUGAGUCCUGUUCAUUUGAUAGAUCAUGCCAAACCUCAACAGCAUGCACCGCUAUAGUAGCCUACAUCUUGCAUCAUACGAAGAAUAUGUUGAUAGGAUAGUUGGGUUAAAAUUCUCUGCCUCUAUAAAUUACUAUUGACGGCUCAGAUGAAGUUGAUUUGAAAUCGAACAAAUUAUAUUGGUUACGUAAUACAACAUUUAAUUAUGGGCAAAAUUCUUAGUGUUUUUCUACCUUUUUUAUUUUAGUGUGACUACAUUUAUUAUUAUAUGCAUACACUAUGUUGUUCAAUUGAAUGCGACAGUUAGAGAACAUUGGAUCCAGGAUGGUUGGUGGCUUGGUACCUAAACUUAUUGAUGCAUAGCACAUGACCACAUGAGUUGAGUGUGCAAGUUAAAUAAAAUUACAAUUUGUAAACAUGACUUUUUAUAAUAACAACCUAAAGAUCAAUUUGAGUAAGGAUUUAUCGUUUUCUUUUCUAUUUUCUGUUUAUAAAACCUGUUAAGCAUUUGAAGCCUCGUAGUUCUCGAACUCCUCCUGAACUCCAUAAAUUUGUGAAAAAGUUUUGAACCAAUAUGUUACAUCCUACCGAAUGUAUAAGAAUUGUUAUCACUGUUAAAAAUAUUUUUAGAAAAGUGAAGAAUUGAUUGAAUACAUUCGAAUUAUGUGAUGAUACACAAAUAUAAUCACCAUUUUGUUUUGUCAGGCCGUGCAUAUCACCUCACAAAUCUUGUAUUACUCUCUAUUCCACUUUUUAUUAUAUUAUUAUUUUUUCUUCAUAAACAUCAUAUUUUAGUUUUUUUUUGUUUUCUUAAAAUCUAAUAGCUAUUAAUUAAGUAAUACACAAAUACAACAAUUUCAGAAACCUCCCUUGAGGUUUAUAACAAUCUCAUAAAUUAGAGAUGAUUUCAGAAACUUCCCUUGAGGUUUAUAACAAUUUCACUUGACUCUCCUAAAGUUUCAAAUAUUACACCUACCACCUUUGAUAUGAACAUGGGAUUCAAUGAUUCAACCUUAAGUCAUACAAGUGGAGGAUCAUCCAUUGGACAUCAUCAAAUCCAAAUCCCUUCCUUAGUUUGGAGUAGUUUUCCUUAGUUGUAAGCUAUAUUAGGAGUAUGUGUUGUUUGUGUUAAUUAUUUCCAGCCGUGAGUGUUUAAUUAUUUUCAGCAAAUUAUAGUUGGUUGAUUAGUUAAUUAAGUUGUUAGUUUGGUUGAAUAAAAGGUUAGGUCAUGUUGACCAUAGUUGAGCCUUUAAGUCGUGUUAGUUUUCUAAUUCUAGCUGAGUUAGGGUUAGUUAAGUAAGUUCCAGUCUAGUUAGGUUUUUGAGUCUUUGUAAGGCUAUAAAUAAGCCUUGUCUCAAACGUUAUUUUGAUAAGAUGAAUAAUCAAAGAAAAUUUCCAGCAAACACUUUGUGUUAGUAACAUCUCUUGUCCAAGAUAUCCAACUUGAAUACUUGAGAGGAUUCUUGAGUUUUCGAUCGACUAAUCAAUUCAAGAUCACAUUGAAUUGUGGCGUCAUUCUACCCUUCUAUUCAAUCUCGAGCGGUCCUUGAUUGUCUAGAAUCCAUCCAAUUUAUCCAUAAUCUAAUCAAGAUACAUCUUUCCGCUUGCCUGAUCGAUUUAGUUCUUCAAGACAGGUUUUUGCUGGGUCAAGAUCGUAUCAUCUGGUAUCAGAGUUUUGACUCUUGAUUCAGGUCAAUAUUCUUUUCUUCUUCUUGUUUUUCCUUCUGUUUGUUUUGCCACCAAACCCUAAUCCUUCUUAUUCAAAAGAAAAAAAAAUUGUUCAUCGUUGUAGGGUUUGAAUAUCUUGUGAUUACCUUGUGUCGCACGUUUGGUUCUUAUUUUUUUCCUUGUGUCAUUUGUCUCCCUUGAUCAGAUUCAUUGUUUGAACUAAAAAAAAAAAAAAGCAUCCUAUAGCAUCCUUACUGUUCAUCGCUACUGUAGUGAUACUAUUCACCGUGUCGUACUGUUCAUCCAAAAGUACUGCAGCAGCACUGUUCAUCCGAAACAAUUAUUAUUUUUUUUUUUUGCAUAACUUGUGUUUGUUUCUUGUUUUGGUGUCUUGUUAUAUUGUUCUUGAAGUCUUGUGUUGGUUUAGAGUCAAAAAAAAAUUUCUGGUCGUUACCUUGUUGGAGAAAAUCCGUGGUUAAUCAUUAGGGUUUUGUUGAAUCCGUGGCUAAGCUUGUUUGUUUCUUGGGAAAAAAACGUUUGAAGCUCUUGAAUUCUAGACAAAAUCUUGAGUUUCUUGAGUUCUUUGACUAAUUUCCAGCAACAAACCUUGAAGUUCUUGGGUUCUUGAAAAUCUUGAAACCAACCUUCCAAAUCUUGAACCCUAGUUCAUCUCUUGGGAAAUCAACUUGCGGUUGUUGUGUUUGAUUGAGCGAGCUUGAAAAAACAAAAACAAAGAGAAUCUGAUCCGUGAAGAAAGAAGAAAAAAAAAGGAUCAAGAUCUCAAGAAUUAGCUUGCAAGUGGAAUUCGAAGUUGACUUGGUUUGUUACUUACCAAAAUCUGGUAGCAUCACCUUGUCCAACUUGGACUUGAUUAAGCCAUUUAAGGAAGUCUUGAAACCACUUCUUGUUUUCAUAAAAACGAAUUCAAGUUCCCUAAAACAAGUUUCCAAAUCUUGUCACUAAACCAGUUUCCAAAUUCCAGCCACGAGAAAUCGGGUAGAAGGUUUUCUAGGUUUCCAAAAAAAUUCUGCUAAGUCAUUUAUUGUUCUAGAUUUCCUUUGUAAUCUGUCCAGCCACAAUUUGUUGUGUUUUGAGUCAUAUUUUUCAGUUUAUAUUCAAGUUUCAAUGGUCCAAAAUAGUCCAAAUCAGUUUUGGUCCAUAAAGAGUUAAUAGUUUCCUAAUUUAAGUCAUAGGUUUCCUAAUUCAAGCGCUCAUUGUCUUGUGUCUUUUUUUUGGCUGAAUUAAGCACCAAGUUUUUGGUGUAGAUUUCCAGUUAUAUUUCAGGCAAACAUCUUUUGUGUGUUAAAUCUGGUCCAAAAUUGCACCAAAUCAGCAUCAAAUCUAUUCGGUUCUCAUCCAAGUUCCUCAGUGUUUUGUCGAGUCACAUCAGAUUCAUUCUUCCGUUAGUAAAUCUGUAAAUUUCCAACCUAUUUUCAGCACUUUUGACUCAUCCAGAUCUCUUCUUUUUGUAUUCAAAUCUCAACUCAAGAUAACAAUUUCAUCUAUGGCACUUCCUUGUGCGUUGUUGGAUAAGUCAUUGAAUUACUUGAGAAAUUUCUGAUUUCUUCAAGUAAGGAGAUCAACGACCAAGAGAUUUGCUUGGUAGGCUUAUUAGAGUGACUUAAAUACUUGAGUGAUACAUGAGUGCGAGUGCAUACACGUGAGGGUGUACUGUUAGGAAACUUUCCUUUGUUUUUACUAACCAUUUUGCAGGUCAAAGAUGAAUAUCAAAGGAAGUUCACACCACUUUGAUCCUACACAUAUGUUGGAAUCCAUAUUGGGGGAAGUUGAAAGGAAGUUAAACAAAUCAGUCCAACUCAUGCAUAAGAGGUUUGAUAGAAUUGAGAAUGAAUCUCUCAAGGGGAGGGGUUCCACACAAUCAAGUCAUGAUAAAGUGUCAAACCAUGAGUUUCAUACCCUCAAGGAGGAGAUGGAUCAUUACAAUGCUUUGUGUGCAUAUGAACGAUAUAAGUGUACUUGUGAUGAGUAUGAGGGGGGCAAAGGAGUUUACGUUGAACAUCUAAAAAGAGCACAUCCUCCACCAAAUCAGCUUGUUCGUUUGAGAGGUCUCAUGACCAUAACCGAGCUGUGGAAAUUAGAAGUUCUCGCAAUAGGUCAACAUAUGGUGAACCAAAGGAGGAAAGACCACUCAAAAGAGAAAAAGAAUCUAUUACGACAAUUUCUUCAAAGUCUAAGGCUGCUAUGGAGCCAUCUAAGCAGGAGUCAUGGUGGGAUAUUUACCAACGUCUUCUUCAAGAAAAACAAAGGAAAAAUCCAGUUGAAAGGGGGAAGAUUGAGGAAAUUGUAAUUGAAGCUGAAAUGUGGGAAGAUGAAGUUGUUAGCGAGAAGUGUGGGGUAACACUUGAGAGUGCAUACGAGGUAAAAGUUGAGAAAAGUGAGCUGGAAACAGAGGUAAAAAAUUCUGAUGAGAUGAGUGAAGCAUCAAGUGAGCUGAUUGUGAGUGGCAAUGUGAGUGGUUAUAGUUUUUCUAACAAUCUUAACUGUGCCUUGUUUAGUGUUUUUUCUUUUGUACAGAUUAAGCGAAGUCAAGUAAAGUUAGUCAUGCAAUGUGCCAUUCCAAAGUCACUUGUACAAUUCACUAGCUUCCAUGGAGUUUGUCUUCUAGGAGAUAAAUCUAUUUGGCAUCACUUUAUGGAACAAUUUCAAUUCAAAUCUAUCCGCACCAAUGGAGAAUUAAUUCAAACUCACCAUGAAGGGAGAAUUCCAGAUUUUGAUUCUCAUUUGCUAUCUAUGGUUCAUUCAUCAUCUUUACCUUUUUUUGAGUAUAAUUUCCAUCUUAACACUUGUAUUUCUUAUGCAGAUUUUGAAGAGCUAGCAAUGCAUUCUCAAGUUGAAUCAAUUGGUGGAAGGCAUAAUGAAGUGUCAAAGGGAGUUUUUGCAUUUAACCCUUGUUCUACACCUUCUUACCAAUAAGCUAUUGAUAUUCCAUUGCUUUUUUAUCCAAUUUCUGGUUCAUUACAAGCUAAAACUUAUUUUGUUUUUGUAGGUUGUAUUUUAAAGCUGUCCAAAAAUUUUCAGCUUUGAUUAAAGAGUUUCAACCUGAUUUCAUGCUUAUUUCAGUUAAAAGUGAUGAUAUUUCAUGCGUCUUCACACGACCAAAAGCUGGCUGCCCAGUGCUCAAUUUGUUAACUUCAACUUGUGCUAGUUCGAGUAACCCUCAUGAAGUGGAAUUCAAUUGCUUGCUGUCUCAUAUGUUGGAUGAUGAGAACUUGUGUGCCAAGCAAAGUUCCAAAUCUGUUCUUCACUUGUUGUUUAAUGCUUCAUCCGUGCAACAAGUUGCUCCAGUUUUGUCCAUACGGGAUGACCCAAAUCAAUGUUAACUAGUGAUAGAUUUUGCACCUUUACACAAUCAAAGUUGGGACGUCACUAGUGUACUUAAGCAUUACUAUGAACAUCACUACCUAGUAGAUGCAAUUGAACUUGUUCAUGGUGAUCUAAGAGCAAAGCGGUGCUACAAUCAGCUUCAUGUUCAUUGGUACAUACCAUGGUUAAAGACUUUGCUCAUUAGUUUCUUACAUUUGCAUAAAUGCCAUGCAACAUGGUAUGCUCGCAUUAAGGUGUUGUCCGAAUUGCUGCAAUUCCUCCAAUCCGAUGAUUUAUGGACAAAUCACUUUCAAGAGCGGGGGAAUGAUAUGAACAUGGGAUUCAAUGAUUCAAGCUCAAGUCAUACAAGUGGAGGAUCAUCCAUUGGACAUCAUCAAAUCUGAAUCCCUUCUUUAGUUUGGAGUAGUUUUCCUUAGUUGUAAGCUAUGUUGGGAGUAUGUGUUGUUUGUGUUAAUUAUCCAUUGGACAUCAUCAAGUUGCUCCAGUUUUGUCCAUACGGGAUGACCCAAAUCAAUGUUAACUAGUGAUAGAUUUUGCACCUUUACACAAUCAAAGUUGGGACGUCACUAGUGUACUUAAGCAUUACUAUGAACAUCACUACCUAGUAGAUGCAAUUGAACUUGUUCAUGGUGAUCUAAGAGCAAAGCGGUGCUACAAUCAGCUUCAUGUUCAUUGGUACAUACCAUGGUUAAAGACUUUGCUCAUUAGUUUCUUACAUUUGCAUAAAUGCCAUGCAACAUGGUAUGCUCGCAUUAAGGUGUUGUCCGAAUUGCUGCAAUUCCUCCAAUCCGAUGAUUUAUGGACAAAUCACUUUCAAGAGCGGGGGAAUGAUAUGAACAUGGGAUUCAAUGAUUCAAGCUCAAGUCAUACAAGUGGAGGAUCAUCCAUUGGACAUCAUCAAAUCUGAAUCCCUUCUUUAGUUUGGAGUAGUUUUCCUUAGUUGUAAGCUAUGUUGGGAGUAUGUGUUGUUUGUGUUAAUUAUUUCCAGCCGUGAUUGUUUUAUUAUUUUCAACGAAUUAUAGUUGGUUAAUUAGUUAAUUAAGUUGUUAGUUUGGUUGAAUAAAAGGCUAGGCCAUGUUGACCAUAGUUGAGCCUUUAAGUCGAGUUAGUUUCCUAAUUCUAGCUAAGUUAGGGUUAAUUAAGUAAGUUCUAGUCUAUUUAGGUUUUUGAAUCUUUGUAAGGUUAUAAAUAAGCCUUGUCUCAAACGUUAUUUUGAUAAGAUGAAUAAUGAAAGAAAAUUUCCAUCAAACACUUUGUGUUAGUAACAUCACUUGUCCAAGAGAUCCAACUUGAAUACUUGAAAGGAUUCUUGAGUUUUCAAUCAACUUAUCAAUUCAAGAUCACAUUGAAUUGUGGCGUCAUUCUACCCUUCUAUUCAAUUUCGAGCGGUCCUUGAUUGUCUAGAACCCAUCCAAUUUAUCCAAAACCUAAUCAAGAUAAAUCUUUCCGCUGCUUGAUCGAUUCAAUUCUUUAAGACAGGUUCUUGUUAGGCCGAGAUCGGAUCAACCUUUAUUUUGAGUUUUUAUGUAACAGUCAACCCAUGUCCAUAAACAAUUAUAUAAAAUGCUAAAAAGUACUUUCAUUCCCGAACCACAAAUCAUGACUCAUAAAGAUGGAUACAAGAAAUUCAAUAAAAAAAUUAUAAUCCAUUAAAAAAGUUAACGAAAUUUAUCUUGAAGAGUUACUUAUGUUAUGUUGUAGUGUUAGAUACAUUUUAAAUAAAUCAUUGGAAGAAUUAAUAUCGAAACCUUGAUAAUUGAAAAUACUUAGGUGUCACAAGAAUUUGAAAUUACAAUUUCAACUUUAUAAAGGGUUUGAAAUUGUAGAAGAGAAAAUGAAUGGAUGUAUUCCCUAUUAGUAAUAAUAAACUAGACCGUAUUAUUGCACUUUUUCACAUUAUUAAAUUUAAUAACAUCUAAAAAUUAAUAUCUUAAUUUGAUGAGAGAUAUUUUUUAGUUUUCUUGAGUAUUUUUUUGCAUGAAAAUUUAGGUAUUUAACUCCCUCAGUGAUUCUUUUAUGAUUUUAGCUUGAAAUAAUUUUGUCAGAUCUUCAGAUCAAUUCAGAUUUUAGCUUGAAAUAAUUUUGUCAGAUCAAUUCAGUUCCUUUGAUUGCACUUUUGUAGUCAAUCUUCCUUUAGUUUAAUCUAUUAUGUUAGUAUGCACGGGUAGUUUGAGAGAAAAAAUGCUUUUCAACAAAUAAUAUUAUUUUUUUAGAUAUAUGGACUGAUUUUGUUACAUAGAAAUUCAAAAUAGGGGAAGUAAGUGUAAUAUUUGAAACCACAUUGGAGCCAAGUGAAAUGGUCAAAAACCUCAAGAGAGGUUUCUAAAAUUAUUGCUACAAAUUAACUGCGGCAAGUACAUAUGUUAUCAUCGCAAAUAAGGGAUUAAUUUUUUAUACAUUAACAGUAUCUAUACUAUCAAGUUUGAAUAUAUGACUACUAAUUUUAAUUUAAAUUUGAAUUCUACAUUUUAAACGUAUGGUAUGCAUCUAAAUCCAAUAGUAUAUAUAUUAUUAGUGCAUAUACGAUUAAUGCAGUUUUUUCUACUUAUCAAAGUAGGCAUAUGAGUACCAAAUGCUUUCCUCACUCGAGAUUCUCUGUUUUUUCAUCAUGGUUUGCUCCAUUUUAUACAGAGCAAAAGCGAAAAGGAUGGAGAAAUUCACGAGGAAGCAUUUUAACUUCGUCACAUGCAAUUCAAACUCAAUGCGAAAAUUUUGAAGUCACAAAUAGACCACAGAAAAUCACAAUGUGUAUAGCGCUUUUCUCAAUUUAUGUCUUUAUUAUGCAGGAUAGUUUCAGGAACUUCCCCUGAAGCUUUUUGACAAUAUUAUUGAGCUUUCAAAAUUUUCACUUACCCCCUUUAAUUCCAAUUUUGUUGUUACAAAUUAGCCUAUGAUAUGAAAAGUAAUAUUAAAAAGUGAAUUUGAGGAGAGAAAGGAGAAAUUCAUGCCAAAAAUACCCUUUUGUAGUCUUAUUUAUUAAUUUAUUACCAAAAAAUUUCUCUCAAGCUGGCACUUUAUAAUUUUACACAAGUAUUUGAAUAGGCACUUUAUACCCUUCGUCAAAUAAAAAAUGAUCCAAAAUUAACUCCAUCCAUGUAAUUGAUGAAAGGACUAAUUUAUCCUCUACUAAAAGCUUAAGUGGCAAAAAUUUCCUUUCAAUGGGAAAAAAAAUUUCCUUUGAAUGGGAAAAAAAAUUUUACUUUUAAGAGACUAGUUUUCACUUUAUAAUAACAGUCGAGUAAUUUUCCAUCCACGUCAAGUAGGAAUUAGAGGAAUAAACAGGAUUCCAGUAAAUUUCAAGUCGGGAAAGGGCAAUGUGAAAUCCGGUUUAUUCCUCUAAUUCCUAGUUGUACUUUAGUUUUCUUGUUGCAUGCAUAUAACUAAGUGGAUAAUUUACUGUAUUUUGUUGAAACUUCUAAGUCCAAUAUUUUGUUUACUAAUAUAUGGGUUUCAAUUCAGCUUUGAUUUUUUUUUUUUUCCAAUUCAGGUUUGAUAUUGAACCUUUGCUGCUAUUAUUGUCUAAAUUCAUAUAAAAAAUUUUGGUUCUACUCCAUUUAAAUUCUUGUGAGGAUUUCAAGUAAAAUUUUGCCUAUUAUAUGAAGCUCUGGGUUAUGAUGAUGAGAUUUUAGAAAUUGCAAGAGUAGCCUGUCUCAACAAUUUAAUUUUCAUAUUUUACCCCUUAUGUUUGAACCCCAACAACCUUAGUUACCACCUAAAAUGACCACGUAUUUUAAAUUUAUUUGUUUUCAAUUAGACUUUUAUUAUAAAGUGAAACUUAGUCUAUUUAAAGUGGCAAUUUUUCCCCACCAAAAUGGUAUUUUUGCCACUUAGGAUUUAAAUAGAGGAUAUGUUGGUCAUUUCAUCAAUUAUUUAGAUGGCAUCAAUUUUUUUUUCAUUAUUUUUUAGUUGACGAAGAGUAUAAAGUACCUGUUAAAAUAGUUUAGAGGGUAAAAUACAACUGCUGUAAUAGUUCGUGGGUUUUCCGCAUUUAGUUGGACACUGGUUGUAUGUGUUUCAUGUCAUUAAAUAAGCAAAAUGACACCUUUUUCAAGACACUCAUAUUCGACUAAUAUGUUUGGUGCUAAAUGUUUUAACUUGUACUAUGCAUAGCCAUCCAACUUCUAAAGCCAUGGAGUUUUGAAGUGCAUGAAACUCAACCAAAGAAAGGAAGACCUUUUUUUUUUUUUUUCUUUUUCGGGAUUUCCUUUUGUGAAUUAAAGAGAGAUACUUGGCAAAUGCUACGUCUUUUCUUUUCUUUAUUUUGCUAUUGAUUUAUUAAAUGGGUAGGUAGCCUCAGCCCUCAGCCGUUGGGUAAUGGGAAGCUUAAGGAUAAAUUUCUUCAGAUGUCCCCACAAGGUACUUGUAUAAAGGUUCUUGACCUUACCGUCCUUCAACUGCAAUAAAUUCUUAUCAAGUCCUCGGGUCGUUUUAAAUCAGUCAGUCCAGUACUCUAGUCCCUUCAAAAGUUCGUGAAAUCAUAUUUAUUUGAGUUUUGUUAUUUUAUCCUCAAUGCUUCUCCUAUUUUUUAAUGUUAAUAGAUAAAUUUUUUAUGCCUUGUUAGUAUAUAAUUUUUUUACGCUAGUAUGUUCAAAUCAUGCCACCUACAAAUUGAAAUUUAAAAGGAAAAAUGGUUCAAAACGUCUUUCGCAUUAAAUAUACAUGACAGUAUAUAUAAAAUUUAUUCUUCUGUAAAAUGAUUUUUUUUGUCUUUUAUUUUUAAAAACGUAAUUUUACGUUCCUUACAAAUUUACAUUAAUCACAUUUAAUUUUUUUGAGUACCUAGUGUAAAUAAAUUAUACCGUCAAUGCAUAAAAUAUUAAUCUUUUUUAAUCACCCUAGUACACUUUUUAACUGUCUUUAGCGUAAUACAACACACACACAAAAGAUCAUACGACUUAAAUAUCUUUAUUGAGAUAACCACCUUGAUAGUACUUUAUAAACGGUUAUACACGAAGCAAACUUUCUGAGAUCUAUUCAUACUUUUUGCCCUCGGUUAAGCUUGUUAAUUGUGCGCUUUAUUGAUUAUUCGAAAUGACACCUGGCCACCCAAGAAGUCUGUCAAAAUCGUUUGUUGCAUUGGAUGCUCCAGUACACCCAACACUGCUAUGUUGCUGAAAUUGCAAUGGCAGAACCUGAUAAUACCCCCAGGGAAUAAUUUUUCCUCACGUUACUACUACCACACAAGUAGGAGUGAUCAAACCACGUAAAAGCCUAGAUGAUGAACAUAAAUAGGAUUGCAACCUAUUUCCACACAGGAGAUCAAUCAGAUAGAUGAUGUAGCAGACUGAAUACUAGCAAUUAGAUAGAUGAUGUAGCCAGAAAAAGAGUCAUAAAAUACGUAGGCAUUAAAUGUGCAGACCUAGCAUAGAUAGAACCAGCUCAAGAGAUCACAUUAACAAACAGCUCAAACUGAGACAUUAUUUGGACACACAAGACUUUGAGCCCAUGUCAAGGUUAAAAAAAUCUCCAUUACACAUUAAAGCCUCAAAUCUUCCAGAUAACAGAUGUACAUUUUAACUUUCAUACGCACCAGAGGAAUUCCAAGUAUAAGCACAACAUUAACGUUAUACGUUUAAUUUGCAAAAUAUGCUCUUUGAUACCAAGUGCACUAUUCAACCGCAGCAAGAGCCACAUGCAGGAAGAGAAC